GGUGAGAGGACGUUCCUGAAGCUGGGACAGUGGGACCGGGAAGGGCCUGGGGCCGGAGAGGCAGCAGGAGCCCAGGCUGGGCUGCUUCUCGCUGAGGCCCCGUGCGCGGAAUUCCUGCACAGGUGCGGUCCCUGGGCCUGGCCGGAGAGCGAAGCAGGAGGUCUGGUGUGGAAGGGCAGGUCCCAGCUGACCCCCGGGCCCCCAUGAGCUCCCCUCCGCCUGAGUCACGGCACCCGAGUCCCCACGUGGAGAUGUGCAGGCCUCAGCAGACAGGCUCCUGCGAGAACCCACCGUGAGCCAAAUCGGCCCCUGAAGUCGGCAGCUGCGGCCCGCCCGCUCACCCAGAAGCCCAUUGGGGCUGGCAGCACUUCACUGCUGCCCGCUGCCAGUGCCUUGUCGCCAACGCCCGCCAUGUUCUGCGCUGCCCCCUGGUGGUCAGCGCGCAUGAUAGCGAGCAGUCAAACUCCUGGUCAAACUCCUGGUUGAGGGGACAAUAUGCAUAUUAGGCUUUUAUUAUAUAGGAUACUCUCCCAGGGCAGCCAGCAUUGAUGGACAUAGUACGGCUAUAAGAUAAUGACUGACUGAGUGAAUGAAUGAAUGAAUGA